GUCCACGCCCUAAACGAUGCGAACUGGAUGUUGGUCUCAACUCGGAGAUCAGUACCGGAGCUAACGCGUGAAGUUGACCGCCUGGGGAGUACGGCCGCAAGGUUAAAACUCAAAGGAAUUGACGGGGACCCGCACAAGCGGUGGAUGAUGUGGAUUAAUUCGAUGCAACGCGAAAAACCUUACCUACCCUUGACAUGUCAGGAACUUGCCAGAGAUGGCUUGGUGCUCGAAAGAGAACCUGAACACAGGUGCUGCAUGGCUGUCGU
rnacentral:rRNA from 1 species